GGAUCUCUGGAGGCUGUUUGCAACUGUGGUCACAAAAUUCAAUGUUCUGGGAGAAUUGGAAGCAGCUCAAUUUUUUUGGGGCCCCUUACACAGCUCAAGGUCUGGGCCCCAGGGCCUGACGGUGAGUAUGCCCAUAAGGCCCACUCAUAAGUUCCACCCACCCAUGAGUUUGCUCACAGGGAGUGGAGUGUGUAGGGGAUGUGUUAUGUGUUAUUGUAGAGGAUCUAAU